CGUACCCAGACAGCACAUGUACGUCUGGCCGACGUCGGCCCAAUAUCGAAACGUCGGCCUCUACACCUAAAACAUCUAUAAAACAUCGGCCUGGCGGAGGCCGAUAUAAUUUGGUCAGUGCUCUGUUCUCCAGCUCAUCAAUCGUCGGCCCUGAGCUGGUUCACGACCGCGGGCCGAUGCCGCGCUUCUCUGUGUGCGCGUGCCCAGUGUUCGUCUCUUUUAGCCACCCAGAGAGAGAGAAGAGGAUAAUCCCAGCGACAUCUGUGGCUCUGAGGUAACGUUACGAUUUCACUUCAGCUCAAUUAGACAAAAAAUACUACUUUGUUAAUUUUGUGACACUGAAAAAGUACUAGUAAUACAGUCUAUGGGCAGCUGAAGAGUCUGGCUUAUUUUCAAAUAAUGUUACCGUUAACUUUUUGAGCCAACGGUCACGGUAGCGAUUUUUUUUAACAUUAAUGUUAACGCCUUAAUGCGUUUUCAGAAGUUUCUCGGAGGGAAAAUGUAAAAGCGGGUUAUUAAAGAGAAGUCCUGACUGCUUUUUCACCGUGUUUUUCACUCUUUUACAGGCUUUCAGAAAUAAUCCGGUGAAAUAAUAUGAUGUUUGUGUAAAUGCUGUGUGUGCGUUAAGUCCUGCGCGAACGGGGAGCAGAGUUGCCAUGGAAACGGGGCGUCAACACAAAAACCGUUACUGGCAAGCAGUAAUCUCCGUCUCUCGCUGCAGUUUACACUGUUUUGGAAACGGUUUAGUGUCUUCGGAAAAGUCCGUUAUCAUUUUAGCAGUUUUCAGGUAGGCUAACUAACAUAUAGAUUGAGCUCUUGUUGAUGAAACUCUGGGCUUUUAAUCAAAUCUUCGAUUUGAUUAAAACAAAAUGAUUUUUAAAUUAAUUAUUGAAUGAUUAUUGAAUGAGACUUUACUUUAUAAAUGUAAUGUUUUAACUCUAGAUGUUUGUUUGUGUGAAUGCUGUGUGUGCGUUGAGUCCUGCGCUAGCAGGGAGCAGAGUUGCCAUGGAAACGGGGCAUCAACACAAAAACCGUUACUGGCAAGCAGUAAUCUCCGUCUCUCCCUGCAGUUUACACUGUUUUGGGAGGACAGAAAGAAACUCUACAGAACAGAAGUGAAGCUC